rnacentral:rRNA from 1 species
UACAGAGGUCUCGAGCGUUGUUCGGAUUCAUUGGGCGUAAAGGGCGCGUAGGCGGCGGGGUAAGUCUGGUGUGAAAUCUCGGAGCUCAACUUCGAAAUUGCACUGGAUACUGCUCUGCUAGAGGGCUGGAGAGGAGAUCGGAAUUCACGGUGUAGCAGUGAAAAUGCGUAGAUAUUUGUGAGGAAGACCAGUGGCGAAGGCGGAUCUCUGGACAGCUCCUGACGCUGAGGCGCGAAGGCUAGGGGAGCAAACGGG